rnacentral:rRNA from 1 species
AUUGAACGCUGGCGGCAUGCCUUACACAUGCAAGUCGAACGGUAACAGGUCUUCGGAUGCUGACGAGUGGCGAACGGGUGAGUAAUACAUCGGAACGUGCCUAGUAGUGGGGGAUAACUACUCGAAAGAGUGGCUAAUACCGCAUGAGAUCUACGGAUGAAAGCAGGGGAUCGCAAGACCUUGUGCUACUAGAGCGGCCGAUGGCAGAUUAGGUAGUUGGUGGGAUAAAAGCUUACCAAGCCGACGAUCUGUAGCUGGUCUGAGAGGACGAUCAGCCACACUGGGACUGAGACACGGCCCAGACUCCUACGGGAGGCAGCAGUGGGGAAUUUUGGACAAUGGGCGAAAGCCAGAUCCAGCAAUGCCGCGUGCAGGAUGAAGGCCUUCGGGUUGUAAACUGCUUUUGUACGGAACGAAAAGCCCCGGGUUAAUACCCUGGGGUCAUGACGGUACCGUAAGAAUAAACACCGGCUAACUACGUGCCAGCCGCCGCAGUAA